rnacentral:rRNA from 1 species
UACGGAGGGGGCAAGCGUUGUUCGGAAUUACUGGGCGUAAAGGGCUCGUAGGCGGCCAACUAAGUCAGACGUGAAAUCCCUCGGCUUAACCGGGGAACUGCAUCUGAUACUGGAUGGCUUGAGUUCGGGAGAGGGAUGCGGAAUUCCAGGUGUAGCGGUGAAAUGCGUAGAUAUCUGGAGGAACACCGGUGGCGAAGGCGGCAUCCUGGACCGACACUGACGCUGAGGAGCGAAAGCCAGGGGAGCAAACGGG